GACGAACGCUGGCGGCGUGCCUAAUACAUGCAAGUCGAGCGAAUCACUAGGAGCUUGCUCCUGGUGGUUAGCGGCGGACGGGUGAGUAACACGUGGGCAACCUGCCUGUAAGACUGGGAUAACACCGGGAAACCGGUGCUAAUACCGGAUAAUCCUUUUCCUCUCAUGAGGAAAAGCUGAAAGUCGGUUUCGGCUGACGCUUACAGAUGGGCCCGCGGCGCAUUAGCUAGUUGGUGAGGUAACGGCUCACCAAGGCGACGAUGCGUAGCCGACCUGAGAGGGUGAUCGGCCACACUGGGACUGAGACACGGCCCAGACUCCUACGGGAGGCAGCAGUAGGGAAUCUUCCACAAUGGACGAAAGUCUGAUGGAGCAACGCCGCGUGAGCGAUGAAGGCCUUCGGGUCGUAAAGCUCUGUUGUUAGGGAAGAACAAGUACCGGAGUAACUGCCGGUACCUUGACGGUACCUAACCAGAAAGCCACGGCUAACUAUGUGCCAGCCGCCGCGGUAAAAC
rnacentral:rRNA from 1 species